UACGUAGGGGGCGAGCGUUGUCCGGAAUCAUUGGGCGUAAAGCGCGUGUAGGCGGCUCGGUAAGUCUGCUGUGAAAGUCCAGGGCUCAACCCUGGGAUGCCGGUGGAUACUGUCGAGCUCGAGUCCGGAAGAGGCGAGUGGAAUUCCCAGUGUAGCGGUGAAAUGCGUAGAUAUUGGGAGGAACACCAGUGGCGAAGGCGGCUCACUGGACCGGAACUGACGCUGAGGCGCGAAAGCGUGGGGAGCAAACGGG
rnacentral:rRNA from 1 species